rnacentral:rRNA from 1 species
AUUGAACGCUGGCGGCAGGCCUAACACAUGCAAGUCGAGCGGAGCGGCGGACGGGUGAGUAAUGCCUAGGAAUCUGCCUGGUAGUGGGGGAUAACGUCCGGAAACGGGAGCUAAUACCGCAUACUCUCAGAUGAGCCUAGGUCGGAUUAGCUAGUUGGUGGGGUAAAGAGCUACCAAGGCGACGAGCCGUAACUGGUCGGAGAGGAUGAUCAGUCACACUGGACAUGAGACACGGUCCAGAAUGCUACGGGAGGCAGCAGUGGGAAAUAGGGGACAAUGGGCGAAAGCCUUAUCCAGCCAUGCCGCGUGUGUGAAGAAGGUGUUCGGAUUGUAAAGCACUUUAAGUUGGUGGGCGUUACCAACAGAAUAAGCACCGGCUAACUACGUGUCAGCAGCCGCGGUAAUAC